rnacentral:lncRNA from 1 species
CACAGAAGUAGAAGAGGCUGAGGCAACUGAGAUCUGAGUUGGAAUGGGGGUGACAGGGACACAGGCUACUUCUUUUGGCUCCACAGGAGAAGGACAGUGCUUCUGGCAGCUUGGCAGCCCUGUCCAUGGGACUGGUGGAAGUGGCCUGAGGUGUUCAGUGACCCAUGUUGGUGAGACAAAGAGCCCAACAGUGUGAAAGCAGUUGGGAUUUGAGUCUCCAAAGGUACCUGGAGGACCCCCACUCUUAGGGGUUACCCAACAGGUAUAGGUUCACAUCUCACUCGCCAGUCACCUGCCUGGAUGGG